UACAUCGGAACAUGUCCUGUAGUGGGGGAUAGCCCGGCGAAAGCCGGAUUAAUACCGCAUACGAUCUGAGGAUGAAAGCGGGGGACCUUCGGGCCUCGCGCUAUAGGGUUGGCCGAUGGCUGAUUAGCUAGUUGGUGGGGUAAAGGCCUACCAAGGCGACGAUCAGUAGCUGGUCUGAGAGGACGACCAGCCACACUGGGACUGAGACACGGCCCAGACUCCUACGGGAGGCAGCAGUGGGGAAUUUUGGACAAUGGGCGAAAGCCUGAUCCAGCAAUGCCGCGUGUGUGAAGAAGGCCUUCGGGUUGUAAAGCACUUUUGUCCGGAAAGAAAUCCUUGGUUCUAAUAUAGCCGGGGGAUGACGGUACCGGAAGAAUAAGCACCGGCUAACUACGUGCCAGCAGCCGCGGUAAUACGUAGGGUGCAAGCGUUAAUCGGAAUUACUGGGCGUAAAGCGUGCGCAGGCGGUUUGCUAAGACCGAUGUGAAAUCCCCGGGCUCAACCUGGGAACUGCAUUGGUGACUGGCAGGCUAGAGUAUGGCAGANGGGGGUAGAAUUCCACGUGUAGCAGUGAAAUGCGUAGAGAUGUGGAGGAAUACCGAUGGCGANNGCAGCCCCC
rnacentral:rRNA from 1 species